UCAGGGGAGACCUUAUUGCUCUCUACAGCUCUCUGAAUGGAGGUUGUGGCAAGAUAGGGGUCAGCCUCUUCUCCCAGGUAACAGCAAUUGAACGAGAGAGAAUGGCCUCAGGUUACAGUAGGGGAGUUUCAGGUUGGGUAUGAGGAAAAACUUCUUCUACAGAAGAGUGGUUGGGCAUUGGCACAGGCUGCCCAGGGAGGUGGUGCAGUCACUGUCCAUGGAGGUGUUCAAGAAACAUGGAGAUGUGGUAUUAAGGGAUGUUGUUAGUGGGGAAAUAUUGGUGGUAGCUGGGUGGCUGGACUGGAUGAUAUUAGAGGUCUUUCCCUUAAUGAUUCUGUGAUUUAAAAAAAAAAAAAAAUCGUGUAAUGCAAAAAGUUAACAAUGGGUUGGAAGAAUCUCAAGUGGCACCAGUGGGCUGAGUGCCUGCCAUUGGUGAUAGGAAUUAGUCUGCAGCAGCGCCAGUUCCCAUGUAUUUAUGUAACUGCUGAAAUCAAACCUAAUGCAGGUUCUGAGGUAAAAUGUUUUAGGAUUUGUUGUCAACUUUUGUCUCCCUUAUCAUUAUGGGCCAGUAAAUUCAGACAUGAGAAGAGGAGAAGCAGUUCAGCAUUCAUAUGAGCUAAAUAUUCCCAUGUGCAUAUGUAGCCCUUUACAAGGUGACAUUCAUUUGGAACUGUACCUGCCUUUCUUCUCUGAUUGCUGCGUGCGAAACAACCAAUUCCUUCCCAUUUUCGGUAAGAUGAUGCUUCCUGUUCUUCCGUGUAAUCAGCCUCAGAAAAAGGGGUAUUUUGUACAAAGAAAAGCUGCCUAUCAUAAACCCUGUAUGCCAUUCUGUAACGUCUUGUUCCAGCUGAUUGUGACUUAAAUUUGCUUCUCAGUGUCAUCUUUGGAAAGACUUUUUUUUGUCUUUGUAAGAUGGGCCAGAACAAGCCCCGAUGAGCUGUCUGCUGUGUGACUGGUGUCCUCGGAGCACACCCAAUUGCAGCGGGAACGGCCGCAGAACGUACAGCUUGUUAUGGUGCUGCCGAAGGGGAUUUACCACCUCCUGCUGCAGAGCGUGGUGGGAACCGACGAGUCUGUGCUGAGGGCUUUAACAAAGCAGCUUUCCAGAACCAAAGGACCUGUGUGAGGACAUGUGCAGGGACCCAGCGUGAGGCACAGGAGUGCCCUAAGGCAAGGAAGUAACUCUGCUCUUCAUCUACUUUAAAUAACUUUUGUGCUCAAGUCACUGUGGGGACUAAAGCUGGCAGAUAUCCCCAAGUUUGCUGAGGUGAAUGUCAGAAUUAUUUUGGUCAAUGGGAGUCUUUUAUAACCAUGUAUUUUACCACGGUAUAUGGCCCCAGUCCUACAGCUAGGCAUUUCCCAGAUUAUUAUUCCCUUGCUAUGCCCAAACUUCAGAGAAAAAUGGUUUCUUCAUUGCUUGUGUGAUCCUAUAAAUAAUGUAUUGUUAACUGCAUGCUGAGCUAAGAAUAGCAUCUCCCGAGUCACACUUACUGUGGGUCUAUGGACAACGCUUUCAAAGCCUGAUGUGCUCCCACAAUGUGCAGACACCUUAAGGCUCAACACUCCCCUCUUCCAGCAGUAAAUUAGAGAUGCUCUCACAAUACUUCGUCAUGAAUAGCUAAGCCUACUUCAGGAAACAUCUUGAUAAUGUAGCUGCUAUCAGACAGAGCAGAGUAAGGCAGCUCUAUGCAAAGGCUCAUUAAGGGUCAGAUGAAGAAAAGUCUUUGUCCAGAAACUUCUUGGAGUUUCCUGGUGUUGCCGGUUGUACGUUGGAGGUGAUGUAUUUACUGAAGGCUCCAGUGCGUGACAGCUAGCUUUUUUUGUUACUUGAAAUCCAGCUUGCUUAAGUCAGAUAAUGCUUUUGCCAUGAUUUAUUGCAUGUGGCACAAAUCCUGUUCUGUUGCACCUAUCAAAUUUUGUUGACAUCCCUGGCAGCAAAGAGAAUUUGGCUCUCAUAAUUUAAAACUUUGAGGCAAAUGGCAAGAAUUUCCAGAAGAUGAGAUUUCUAGAUGAGUGCUGAGGUGGGAGGUUGUGUGGUCAAUUUCUAGCAGCUACCAGAACAAGGUAAACACUGUCAGAAUAGGUUACUGAGAAUGAAAGUACCUCUGUGGUUUUUCAGGUUGCAAAUAUAUACUACUGCAAGGAUGCUUUGAUUUAUGUGACAGUAUGAAUUUUAUAAACCCCAUGCACGCUUGAGGUAAGAAAUAUUUGCAUUGGUUCGAACCUGCUGGAAUAUUCCUACAGUGCUCCUGUGGGACACUAGCUUGCGUGGGUGAGGUGCUGGUGCCAGUGCAGGACUGGGAGGUGAGCAGGCAGUGGCCAGCCCUGAUUUUCCUGCUGCUGCCCAACAUGCUGCACCCAGUCCCUCUCUGCUCCUCUGAGCACAGAAUUUGCAACAUUUUAGUACAACUUCAUGCAGUUGCUUUCCUGCCAUGGUCUUUAUCCCUUCUCUAAGUAUAAUUUUGCUACACCUACUCAUUAAAUGCCAAAUAGUGAGUAGGGAAAUAUUUCCCUGUGUGGACAAUUUUCUUUUAGUAUUACUGUUUUAUUUUUGGAUAACUGUCCUGUUGGUUCCAUAAAGGAAGAUGCUGGAGCCUGAGCCUGUCUGAUGUUCAUUUUGUCCACAAAUAGAAAAUGACAGCUUCCUUGGUAUCUCACCUAACACAAAAAUGUCAAUGUUUAUAGGCGUUUUCAGUAUGUCAUGAGCUACAAAUAGCGUUUCCAUUCAAGGGAUCAUGAUUUUCUUCCAUGAAGAAAUCAAAAGAUUGUUUUGUUCUUGUUGUGGGGUAGCAGAUAUGAGCAGCAACUAAAAAUAAUGCUAGAACAAGUAAACACAGGUAGAGUUUGUAUAUCUUUUACAGGCAUUCAUCCAAACCAAACUCUUUCAGGUUCAGCCUGAAAAAACAGGUUGGAGCAGUUGAAAGCAGACCCAGAGAUGCUACUUGAGGAUAACAUGAGGUAAUAAGCACAGUGAGCGAGUUUACUGCAUAUGUCCUUCCCUCAGAGAUCUUCUCAGCUCUUUGGGAGCCACUGUGAAAUUUCAGAUUAGCCUCAGUAGGGGAUGAAUGUAAAUAUUAACAUGCCUGGAAUAACACAAGCCAAACUUUUAAUUCCUUUUGGGUCAGUUCUUGCUAUAUUUUCCCUGGCUAGUAUCCCAAGGUAUCCAAUGCUAAUUUGGUUUCAGUAAGAAUAAUUAGGUAAUGAAAGCUGGACCUCAUGAUUAUAUCACUGGUCUGUAGGCUUUGGGCGUUAUUGUGUUCUCAACCUUGUAACUGAUUUUCUGCACGACAAGCUAUUUCAGCUACAGUGAUGUGCAUGUAAAAUGUAUUUGUGCAUGUAAAAUGAAGGUGUUGCAUGCCCCACAUGUACACCCUCUGGUGACCAAAUCAGUAAGUGGAAGGAAGGCUUUCAGGAACCGCUGUUAUUCCAUGAGCAAAUCUACUCGGCAGCUUUUGGUCCUAUGGUGCUGUAAUGUUUGGACUAAGCAGAUAGCUCACCUAGCUGGUGGAGCAUGCCCAUGACUGCAUCUGUGUGUGAGUACUUGGAGGUGGUACAAUGGAAUGAGUCUGGAGGUUGUAAGGUCUUACUUGUGAUCUGGCCAGCUAGCUGGGACAGUCCUUCCUUCCUAGGCAACAUAAAGCCCCUGGAAGACCAGAGUGGUUGCAGCUAGAAAGGGAAUAACAGCUUACACCACACAAAUGUUUUCAAGUCUGAAUGAGAAGUGUUGUACAUGCUGGAUUAGGACAAGGCAUCUGUGCUGAGCUGCCCUACCCAUUAUCCAAAUCCUUUCCCUUUAUUAUAUUUCUUGUCAGUAGUUUUCCUGCUUCUCACUUGCAAUCUUCAUUAAAGAUCCCCACUUCUCCGUUAUGCCCCGUGCCCCUCCCUUGAUGCAGCGCCUGGGGCCACAGCUCUGCAGCUGCCCCAUGCCAUGCACAGCCCGAGGGGAAGCUGAGCCCUUUGCAGGGCAUCCUCCCAAGAGGAAGUUGAUCUGUUGGGAGAGUAACUCAAAACUCUCUUCUGGGACUAUAACUUUGUUUCAGUAACUUCACACCUUACAUCUUUGAUUAAUGUAACUUGCUCUGCUGUUCCUGCGCUUAUUAAAUUCAUGUGAAUGUAAAUAAAAUAUAAAUAAAACUAUGGGAUAUAGCCGAA
rnacentral:lncRNA from 1 species